AUCGCUUCUUGGCCUUUUGGCUCAGAUCAAGUGUAGUAUCUGUUCUUAUCAGUUUAAUAUCUGAUACGUCCCCCAUCGGGGGACUACAUAUUAAAUGGAUUUUUCGAACAGGGAGUCGGAAAUGGGGCUUGCUCCGUCCGUUCCACGCAUCGACCCGGUAUUGCAGUACCUCCGGGAAGGGUGCAACACUU
rnacentral:snRNA from 8 species